UGAACGCUGGCGGCAGGCCUAACACAUGCAAGUCGAGGGGGAGGUUACUUUCGGGUGACUGAGACCGGCGUACGGGUGCGUAACGCGUAUACAAUCUGCCUUUCACUGGGGGAUAGCCCGAAGAAAUUUGGAUUAAUACCCCAUAGUAUAGUAAUACGGCAUCGUGAUACUAUUAAAGCUUAGGUGGUGAAAGAUGAGUAUGCGUUCUAUUAGCUAGUUGGAGAGGUAACGGCUCCCCAAGGCUACGAUAGAUAGGGGUUCUGAGAGGGAUGUCCCCCACACUGGUACUGAGAUACGGACCAGACUCCUACGGGAGGCAGCAGUGAGGAAUAUUGGACAAUGGUCGGAAGACUGAUCCAGCCAUGCCGCGUGCAGGAUGACUGCCCUAUGGGUUGUAAACUGCUUUUGUAAGGGAAGAAUAAGGACUAACGUGUAGUUUGAUGACGGUACCUUAACGAAUAAG
rnacentral:rRNA from 1 species